CACGUAGUUAGCCGGGGCUUCUUAGUCAGGUACCGUCAUUAUCUUCCCUGCUGAUAGAGCUUUACAUACCGAAAUACUUCUUCACUCACGCGGCGUCGCUGCAUCAGGGUUCCCCCCAUUGUGCAAUAUUCCCCACUGCUGCCUCCCGUAGGAGUCUGGACCGUGUCUCAGUCCCAAUGUGGCCGUUCACUCUCUCAAGCCGGCUACUGAUCGUCGCCUUGGUAAGCCGUUACCUUACCAACCAGCUAAUCAGACGCGGGUCCAUCCCAUAGCGAUAAAUCUUUCAAAACAGGACCAUGCGGUCCCGCUUUCCCAUGCGGUAUUAGCAGCCGUUUCCAGCUGUUCGUCCCCCUCUAUGGGGCAGGUUACCCACGCGUUACUCACCCGUCCGCCACUCAGUCACUCCCAUAUCGCUUCCUUCCCAGCAAGCUGGUUCUGUCCGCGGGUGGGAUGCUUCGUUCGACUUGCAUGUGUUAGGCACGCCGCAGCGUUCAU
rnacentral:rRNA from 1 species